rnacentral:misc_RNA from 1 species
AAAGUGCGAUAAUUCAUGUGAAUUGCGGAAUUAGUGAAUCAUCAAAUUUUUGAACGCAAAUGGCACCAGUUAUUAAACUGGUACAUCUGUUUGAGUGUUAGUUUUCAAUCUCUAUCUCUAUUUUAAAAUUCUAUUUUAGAGUUUAUUACAUGAGUUGUCUAUUUUAUUUAUUAUUUUUAAAUUGAAAUAGUCACUUUAAAAUGAUUGAAAAAUAAAGAAUAUUUUAUAAUUUAUCAUAUCAUGUGAUUAUUUUAAAUAUCAAUAUUGAAAUGAUAAAAUUAUUAAAAUAAUAAAAUCAUUCACACUUUAUAAUGUAUUGAUUAACCUCAAAUCAGAUGAGAAUACCCGCUGAACUUAA